GGCGGCCUCGCCUCACGGCCUUCCCGUGCUACCCCCGUGCCCGGGAGAUGCCCGCACGUCUCCCCGGGCCCGCCUGAUGCCCAAGAGACGACCCCCGGCCCGCCCCGCCUCUCGCUGAGGCAGUACCCCGGCCGAGCCGCCAGAUGUCAGCACGAGGCUUUGUGCCUCGCUCCGCUCUCAGUGACUGCUCCAGUCGCCAAAUAGCACGAAGCUUUCCCGUACAAUCCCAGGCCCUGCUUCAGCCCAUCCGCCUCUCCCGCUCAGAAGGAUUCCUUACAGACUUUUUUGGAAGUAUAUGAUGAGCAACCAUUGAGAUUGGAUGGAAAGCAUCAGCAGCACCAGGAAACUCUUGGCAUAUGGAUAGUCUGUAAGUACACCUCAGUACAAAGUAAAAGUGGGUUAAGUAUUUAGUCAUUGGUGUACUCUACGAACAUAUUAUGGGUGUAUUGCACAGUAGCAAAGCCUAUUUUUUCUCUAAAAAAAAAAAACCACAGAGCUCAACAACACAGAAGAGUAAUGACCUCACCUUUCAGGUUGCAGUCCUACAAUUACUAAGCAAAGCAAACCCAAGGAUAGAAGCUGAGGUCAUCAGGCAAGCUCAUGACAGUAAAGUAAGGAUGAACCAAGAAAUCAUUUUACAGUUUAGAUGUUGAAAUUAGAAGGUAAUAUAUAGCUGAAGUAUAAAAUAAUGCCUCAGAUUAACAAAUAAGGCUCUUGUGUCAGUGGGCAGAGGGUGUGUGCAGGGUGGGGGGUGGAGGCCCCAGGUGAGGAUGGUCAGGGCCAUUCAGGUUUAUCAGUUCUUAAUCAGGUGUUAAUCAGACCCCUCUGGGCCCUGAUAGGGUAUGUAAAGGGACCUGAGGACUCCUGCUGUGUGUGUGAAUGAGCUGGGUAGUUUGUGACUGCAGAAAGGAAACAGCUGUAAUGGUGAUGGCCUUAGGGAAAGGUGUGUCCUCUUCCUUUCCUGGUGCUGUUUCAGUUAUAGGGUAUGAGAGGUUAUAAGCAACAGCUCCAUUACAUGUCUUGGAUGUGGAUGAUCUGGGUAGAAUUGUAAAAAUAUAGAGGGAAGCAGCUGCAGGGAUGAUAACUGUGGGGGGGGAAAGGUGGGUCCUCUUCCUUUUAUGUUCUGGAAAUUAGAAAUACUUAUACCUGCUUUGCAAGCUGUGAUCUUCCUUGAUUUGCAUGAGGAAACACAAAGACUGGGGAUUUAGGUUAAACUAUGGUUGAGGGGUUUUUACCUUCCUUGGUUGCUAAACGAUUUGGAAGGUAGAUGUUUUGAAGUCGUUUUUCUUGUUUGUUUUUUAUUUAAAGGAAUUGCUUCUGCAUGGGAUCCAGUGUGGGGAAUGCUCUGAAUCACUGUAACAGAGGUAUAAACACGGGACUUACAGGAAUAUGCCUGUAUUCAGAUAACAGAUCUGAAUGGUUUUGUUCCUAGUGCGGCCAGGGGAAAACUCCUACUGGUUUCUGCAUUGCUCUGCUUUGCAUUGUGUAAAUUAGGUAAUGGACAGAUAAAUAAUCGGUUUUCUAAGUGUUAUUUUGAACUGUUCUUUUGAGGCUGGAACCUGCCAAGCCUUCCCACAUCAUGCUGUAGCAUAAAGGGCUCUUAAUGCUCCCAUCGUCGUUAAUUACAUUAGUAAUUAAGGACGAAUGGAGCUGCAGGCUCUGCUGUUUUGGGCCCUGCACAAACAAAGCAGUAAUGUAAGUGGCAGUCCCUGUCUUGGAGAGCUUCAGACUAAAUGACAAAGAUGGGUGGAAAAAAUCUACCAGAAAUAUCUGGAAUGCAGUUUACUUUUUCUCUUGAGCCCCAUCCACGUGAAUCUUAAUGAUUUAUUCACGGGUUUUGAUAUUGUUGAUUCUGAUGUGCCAUCCUAAUACAGAACUUGCAUUUCUGGCCUGUACCUUUCAAUAACCAGUUAUGUGUUUUUUGUCUUUCAGCGGGGACAGGUUUCCCUGCCCGUGCUGGUGUAACAGGUUUGCCUUGUUCCCCUCCCAGGUCUUUGUGCAAAAGGAAAUUCCACUGCAAAUUUGCCUCAGAUGAUAGCAGUGCUGCUUUGUGCUUGGACUCUGUGCAGUCUUUUUGUUCAGCUGUUCAUGGAUUAAGGUCUCAAAGAGUUGUGAUGCAAUUAUGUUCUCUGGUUUUAUAACGUGUUCUGGGUGAACACAAGGCUAGGGAAGGACAGCAGCCCCUGGUAUCCUUCUGCUGAGAGCCUGUGGAGGUAGAAGCCCUUGGGAUGAUGUGGUUGUGCUUUAGGCAGGAUGGCAUGCUCAGAUAUUCAAAUACAUUGGCAACAGCAGGAAGAAGUACUCCGUGAAAUGAGUUGAACAGCCUCUCUUAGUUGUGAUGUAGUCCUUUAAAGAUAUCAGUGCUUAGUGGUGAACAAAAGCAAUGCCUGCUCUGUGUCUCACAUCAAGGGUAGCAGCAUUCCACUCUUAAGCCCAAACCAGUGGGGAUAAAAUGAGAUGCAGUUGCAUUAUUAGCAUCAUGCCCAGCCUCACUGUUCUGAAUGUUGGAAUCACUUCAGUUAUCCUUUUGUUUUUUCCUCAUGCAGGUUGAUAUCCAGAUGCCAUCCAGUGAAAGGGGAAGUGCAUGAAUCCAGGGGAGGCAAUGCAUGCAGCAGCUGCGCAGCUAUCAGAUCCCAGCCCUCUGCGAGCAGAAUCUGUCCUCCUCAGGGGAGUAAAUUUGCUCCCCCCACGUAAGUCUUUCAUGAACAGAUGCAGCAAUAAACACAAAACAGGAAUCUGAAGGUCUUUUCACGUUUCUUGUAGCUGAAAAGCAGAAGUACCAAAUCACAUUAGGUGACGCAGCUCAAAUAAACGCUGUUGCAAAGGAAGAAGAGCACAAAAUCAAUCUUAUUUCUCCAGCCGGGAAA
rnacentral:lncRNA from 1 species